UUUCUACAUCCCGUCCCCCUGAAGAGGAUUUCCUCUGUCCAAUGGCUCACUCUAAAUCUCUGCACCUUCCGAGUCAAAAGAGAGAGAGAAAAAAAUGCAUGUUGAGGUAACGAGCUUCUUAAAGAGUGAGGAAAGCACCACUUCAACUGGGAACUAAAAAAUGAGAUUGCCGGAGAAAAUAGGAUAUCAGCGCUAAGCAUAAUGUGACAAAAAAGAAGAGGAGGAAAUGGGGUGAGAGAGGGAGAAGUUGUGCAUUCAGCUAACCCCCGCCUCAGCCCGCCUCUCUCCACCCCCUGGAAAAGUCUCUCCCUCUCUCUCUCUACCUCUUUUCUCUCCGUCUCUCUGCAGCUGUGCUCUGCUGAGCGUCACCCCCACACAGCAAGUGCCUUUACUUCAGCCGAAGAGGGAGAAAGAAGAGGAAGGUGGCUGCGAGCUCCAGAGCAAAAGAAACCUCAGGAGUGCGUCUGCACGCGGCAGAGGAGUGCUUCUCUCUACACUUCAUACAGAGGGGCUAAGAAGCGCACAGAGACCGGAAAGUGGCGGCUGCGUUGGAGUAACGCUGUGCCGGUGGUGCCGACUGGGGACAGGGGAAUCCACUGACACUGUUGAUCCUGGUGGCUGUGGCAAAAAGCUUCCAGAAGGAGACAGAGAAGUGGAAAAGCAGACAGGAGCUCGCCAAGGGGGCAGCAUUUUACUUCGGAAAACGAAGCGUGGCGACAGCAGAAACGCACAAAGAGAGAUACUCUCACAAACACUAGAGUGGAAAAAGGACAGCGAGACACUCACUGCAUUUAAAAAUCUAUUACAACCCUUCAGUUUCUUCUGACUUAACCAAGAAAUGUCUGGUGUUGUUGCCCGUGGAUGAUGGAUAUUAACUUCUGGAGAGAAAUUUGUCUUCUAAAAUAAGAUUUUUUUUUCUAAACUUUACUACUUUUUAUUUUUUGGAGUUGGGCCUGUAAACCGUCUGAGCACAUCACAGAUUUCUUCUUAGUUACAGGAAUGGAGAGUUGUCUUGGGGACCGUUGAGAUGCCUCCUCCUGAUUCAGAGUAGAAAGUGGAUUAUGACGGCAGUAUUUUGCGAUUUCUUCUUUGCACCAUAAAGAAAAAAAAUCCAUCUACGUCUGCUGGAUUUAUGUCUGAGAGAAGGAGAAGAUCUCAGGCAUUUUCUCUUCUCCUGUGGAUUACCUAUGCGUUUUCUCUCAUGGAUGAUUGCUUGCUGCCAGUUAUUAAGAAAAAGUAUGAAAAGGGACAAGUGAGUAUUGGGCUAGAUUUUCUUCCCUCUAAAUCUUAAGCUCGAGUCCAAAUAAUGGAUGGCUCUAGUGAAAGCACAAUGAUGCAGCUUUUGUCUAAGCUAAUAACACAAAUUGAAACCCACUGAUUGAACAGUUAUGUUUAACAAAUGAUGAUUAAGGUGUAAAAGGUAUGCACAUCUUGACAUCUAUUAAUUCAUGUGACAAGUUGUCCUGGAUGUUUACACACCAUUUGCCAAUGAGCAUCAUUUACUAAAUGAGGGGUGCUGUCUACCCGGCAGGUGGCUUGGGCACCAACAGAGAUUGAUUGAAGUGAUCUCUGGGAAUCCAAUUAAUGUAUCCUGGAUUCUUUCCAAGACAGAAGCAAUGGAGGGGAAAACCACCAUCUAGUUUAAACUGAGAAACCUCUACACUCCCCAGUCAGCAACUCUCCUCCUCCUCCUUUCCCACCACCUUCAACCCAGGCAAGGAUGGUACCCCCACCCCCCACCAACAAGCCCCACGUUUGCCUUUCCACCAUUCUUAUCAUGAGCAGCAUGGCACUAAUUGAUGCCUACCUGGUGGAGCAGAACCACGGACCCCGCAAGAUUGGCAUCUGCAUCAUGGUGAUGGUGGGGGACAUCUGUUUUUUGAUCGUGCUCCGAUACGUGGCAGUGUGGGUGGGCGCUGAGGUGCGGACUGCCAAACGAGGCUAUGCCAUGAUCCUCUGGUUCCUCUAUAUCUUUGUGCUCGAGAUCAAAGUCUACUUUGUGUAUCAGAACUACAAAGCAGACAGGAAGAGCUUGGACGCUCUCGCGAGGAAAGCCUUGACGUUGCUGCUGUCCAUUUGCAUUCCAGUGCUGUUCAUUGUGCUGGUGGCCAUCGACCACAUGGAGUACGUCAAGGCUUUCAAGAAACGGGAGGAGAUUCGCAAUCGCCUCUUCUGGGUAGUGGUGGACUUGCUUGACAUACUGGACAUCCAAGCUAACCUGUGGGAGCCUCAGAAGAAAGGGCUUCCUCUGUGGGCAGAAGGCCUCAUGUUCUUCUACUGCUACAUCCUGCUCCUUGUGCUGCCCUGUGUGUCUUUGAGCGAAAUCAGCAUGCAGGGCAUAAACAUUGUCCCCCACAAGAUGCUACUGUACCCCAUCCUCAGCCUGGUGACCAUCAACAUCAUCACGCUCUUCAUCCGUGGAGGGAAUAUGUUUCUGUACAGGGACGCAAGAGUAUCUGGGAUCCUAAUCGGAAAGAACAUACUGGCCAUCAUCCUAAAGACCUGCAGCUUUGUGCAGUACAGAAGACAGUUGCAGAACGCUCCUCCUGCCUUUGGAGUGGAGCUGCAAAAAAACUCAGUUGCACAAGCUCGUCCUGCGCCCACUCCACCUCAAGUGGUCAUGCAGGACCAGACGCCUCUACCCGAAGUGACAACCUGUGAACACACAUGACAUAAUGUAGGGGGUGAACCCUACGAAAUGUCAAUAUGAGUAAAUGGGACUCUCAUGAUGCUGGCAGGGAGCAGUGUUCCACACCUUUUAGGUCGUGUGAACACUCAUGUGAACACACGGGAGAUUAUGAUCCCUGAUGCUUAAUGGCACACAGGACACUGCAGACACUUAGUGCAGACAGAGCAGUGCUGUCACAGCGGCAUUACCGAUGACUCAAAGCAUUUCCCAUGGUGAAUUUAAUUACCUGUGUAUUUUUUCUAUAUAUACAAAGAAAAAAAAUCUACAGCAAAAAAAUAGAGUAUAUUUUUGAAUUGUGUGUUGCAUUCCAAUCGAAAACCUAAGGGUCUGUGUGCUGUGGCGUGUAUUUCUGUUUCUCAGUUGUUUCUUAGUAGUCGAGGGCUUUACCUUGUCAAAGAGAGACGAGACCAAAUGAGAAAAUCAAAGUAAUGAGGGUAAAAAAACUGCGGUGAAAGCCCCGUCUCUUAAAAGAAGUGCGUUUUUAUAUGUGGCUCUUUGAUCAUAUACUGUGUAAAAGAUAAAGGCUUUCCUGCUUUCUCACUGGCUGUAAGAGGGUUUUGUCAUAAAAUAAUUUUAAAGUUAUUGGUCCGAUGAGUAUAUUUAUUUUUUUAAGAAAUAAUUUAGUAAAUGCCAACUUUGUGACGAGUGUUGGGAGAAAAUAAAUGAAUCAGUUCUAUCCAGGUGAGAAGCUUACAUCCAUCCAUGACAGACUUCAAUUUAAAUGAUAGGCUUUCAAUUAUACAUUUGAAUUUGUUCUUUUUCCAGUGUGAGAUGAUUGAACAAUUAACAAACGCAAAAAAAUAAAACUGGUUGCACAAAUUUAAGUUUAGCAUAAAUAUGUUCUAAUUUACAGAGUCUAUAUUAUACAUAAUAACUGACACUUGUCCCCUGCUAAUAUUUGGACAGAUUUCCAUUAGCAAACUGUAUACCAAACAGAGACAGGUUUUUGCCACCAACACACUUACGGAAAAACGUUUGACUCUGCUUUGGGAUUAAUUGAUAAUGUUAAUUUUAACUGGUUUGUUUCUCAGUGUGGAUAACUCUUACAAACAUGGUUAAGAGUGUUAAAAAAAAGGCUGAGGUCUGAGUUUUGUGAAGCACCUUUCAGAAACAAUCUUUUUAUGUGUGUAUGAUCCUAUUGGAAUGCACUGUCUGACCAAAGCAAGGACUGAAAUACCGAUGUAAUGCUACUUGACACACUGUUGGCUGGCAAUUGCAAACUAGCCAAUCCAGGAGUACCAUUAAGGAAGAGCCAAAUAAGGAAGACUGUAGAGAAUAACUUCUCAAUAGUGUUAAGAUGCAUAUUAAGGACUUUUGGUGUCUGAUCUAUUAAGAUAGGCAGCUAUAAGCAUUUUUUGAGAGGGCCUGAAGUAUUCGUGGGUUUUAAGUAUUCACAUGUGACUAUGCUCCUUAACCCCGAUACAGUGAACUACUGGUAUGUAUUAUUAUUUUUAAGAGUUUGUGCUUCUUUAUUCACACUUUGUGAAAAACAAGGUGCAUCAAGUUAGUCACAUUGACAUGCAACUUCCUGUUAGCAGUGUUAAUCUCCUUCAAAAUAAACCUUGUGCCAAAACAGCAUUUAUGACCAUAACUGUUAACACAGCGUGCAGAGAGUGAGGCUUUGCAUAUUCAGGUCACUUCUGUGCCACUUGUUGUUCAGACUGGCGUCUCAACAACAAAAAUCUGUCUCAUCAAAACAUUUUAAUUAAUCAACACCUAACCAAUUGAGAUGAAUUGAUUUGGUUGGAUAUCCAGACAAAUUAAAGCAAGACGUCUGUUGAUCAUUUCAAAAAGUCUGUGGUCAAGGUGCAACUUUCCAAUGGACAUUUAAACAUUAGCAGGGUAUAUGAAUAUAUUUGAGCCUGAAUGGUGAAGUUUAACAUAUGAAAAAAACAAAGCAGAUGUACAUUUACACUUUCAAAAGUAUGUUUUGUUUAAUUAUUUCACUCUGAAAAAGAAUUGCAAUGCGUAAAGUUUUCUUUCACAAAUAUAAAUUGUUUUUGAGUUUCAUCAUAUUUUGCAGGGUUAUUUCUGAUGAUGGAAACAUUUAGGUUCAACUCUGUAUGCUAUGAACUGUUUGAUCAAUGCAAAUAAUCACCAUAUUGCUAUUUCUUUGAGAUUAAAUGCAUUGCCAAGAAACAGCGCUGCAGGAGGGUAAAUGAAUCCUAAAUAAGAAAGCCUGUUUAAUAUCCACCUCAGGCAUACGACUAUCUGAGCUUGUGCUUAGUGGCAACAGCGGUUGUAAGCACUGUCAUUCUGUUCCUCACACAAAAGGACAAAAUAGAUACUUUGGUGCAGUGAUGUGAAUCCACAAAAACAGCCAAGCACACGUCUUGUCUUGAUAUGACAAAUCUUGCUCUUUCACAAGCUCUUUUCCCACCCACACCACCAGUUGAGUCAGAGCUGAAGUUUUUGACUGUUUGUUUGCCUUCUCUGAAUACAUUUCCCUCAGAGGGAAUUGUUAUUACUCUCCCGCAAAACUGCACACAAAAGAAGCAGAGUUCUGGUCAUCGACAGUUCUAUUUUCCCCGGAUGGUUCAGAUGAGGACUUGGAUUAAUUUCGCUCACCUGUGGCUGUGUGUGCGUAAUUUAAAGCACAGUGUUUGCUAAAACCCCGAGAGUGCAGGAGAUGAUCUAACAUUUCCAUCUGUGCAAGGCUCAGCUACGGGAAGGUGGCAACAUUAAGUGGCACAAAGCAGGAUUUCACAUUAAGACUGCUGUAGUCAGCACUACUUGUCGGUGUUGUUGGCUUGUAAAGAUACAACAUCAGCAAUUUAGACACUAUAAUGCACUAUUGGAUAAUAUCGUUUAUACAGAACUGUUGCAAUGAAAGGAAAAUAUCCUUCUUUUAAAAUAAUGGUAUAUUAAAACAAUGCGAUAUGUUCUGCUGAAUGUAUCAACUCUGCGCAUUUAAAAAGUGUAAGGACUUAAAAACGUAAUGUUUUUAGUGUUUUUACAAGUGACAGAAACACAAAUGUAACUGAAAUUAAUGUAAACAUGAAAUAGUUUUCCUGAAGUCCAUCUGUACAAAUUUCACAGAAAAAAAGAUUUAAGAUGAAGAGAUGCAUUUAAAAAACUAACUGCUAAAGCUCAACUUUAUGGAGCAGAAACUGAUGUGUUUAGUAGAUUAUUUCAUAUUCAUAACAUGAGGAAAUCUUGCACUAAUUAAGAAAAUUUAUUGCAUGGAGGUCCAAAGAGCAGCCCAGGAAUCAAUUACAAUUACAGCAUGUUUUACUCAUCUGCACAUGCAGUUGAUUCAGACAGACACAUAAAAACAAUGCUGGGGUGACAUUUUUAUUGACAGAUUCAAAUCUGCCUACGACUGAAAAUGUUAAAAUAUUUCUCUUUUAUUAACCAUAUUUUUCUGCUUCAAUCUCAAAGUAGAAUCAUAAAGAUCGUGUGGCAUUUACUCAAAAGCAAACUUGCCAGUUAUAAAAAUUGGGUAAAUACAUAAAGCUUUCUCAGUGACUCAUAUACUGUCCUUGUUGGCAGAAACAAAACUUGGAAACUACAUUUAUUUUACUGAAAGAUCUUUCCAGAUCUACAAUAACGUUUCUAACAAAAAUCACACAGCUUUGAUUGUUUAAUAAAAUAUUACACUAGUUUAUCAUGAUUGCUUUGAUAUUUGAUUUUUUUAAAUAUAAUCUAAUAUUUUUGUUGCCUGCGAGUCCUUUUUCCCCUCCUCCAUAUUUUUGUCUGGGCAUCUCUUUGAUAGAAAAACAUAUUUUACAUUUUAACUAAAGCUUGAAAGAGUUGCUCUUAUUAAACAGCCUGGAGGUGCAAUUUGGAGGGAUGCGCACUUUUCUCCAGCUGUGAGCCAUUUUCCAGAGGAAGCCCAGGAUAUACCCAUAGGUUCUCAUAUAGACACACAUUUGUUAGUGACAAAAUCUGUUCAUGUCAUUCUCUUGUUGAGAUUUUUGAAGUUGGAGAACUGCCAUUAUUAACGGUCCUGCUUAAAUCUACAUAAUGCCCUUAAGUACUGGGUUCAUCGUGCAUCUGCAAAUACUUCUACAAGCAGGAAUCAUCCAUGUUGUGGCAAACUUUAGAUGUCAUACUGAGGGCUUAGUCUGGUGUGAUGGUGACACAUAAGCCUCAUCAAUAGAUUAGCAGUAGAUGCAUAUAAAUCCUGAAAACAGAAAAACGAAUGCCCCUCUUGUAUUUAUAGGUAGCUUCAGAAAAGAUAGAGAUGCUUUGGAUAACUCACCGAGGAAUAAAAAGACUGAAUUUUGAUUGGUUCAGGGAAAAACGAGCGGAGAAAAGCAGGGUUGUCAAAACUGAUGAUUGAAUUGAGAACUGACAGAGCUGGAAAGUAGAACUGAAAGAAAUAGAGUUGCUGGAAUAACUCAGUUUGAUCAAACGGCAAAACAAACGAACUGAGAGUAAAAUAGUUCACAUUGACGUCGUUUAGAAAAGCACAAUAUAAAAAUGUAAGACUGCAAUGUUUGGAUCCUGCUGCAUGAAAAAUAGAUUUUUUGGGGAGGUUUUGGAAUUUUAUUCCCAAAAUAAGAUUUCCAUUUUUUCCAUCUAUCUAUUUGUGUAAUUUUGCUUGUGACAUGGGGUGGGAAUAGUACAAACUAGAUACAUUUUAAAAACUCAUAUUAGACUUGCACCGAUUUUAAUUUCCAGUUAGCUUUAAAUUUAUAGUCUAGCAAGACUGGUCAUACUUCUCAGUAAAUAAAUAUUUACUGAGAAUAUUUAACAUUCUCAGUAAAUUCUGCUGAGAAUAUUAACUUAACUGAGAAUAACUUCUGCUGAAUAUUUAAUAUUUAACACAUUUUUCCUCAAGUAAAAAGUAGCUUUCCAAGAAAUUACUGUAGAAUAAAAAAAAUCUAUUUAAUAAAAAGACUACUGAAGCACUGAGUAAGUGAUCAUAAAAUCUGAUUAAAUAUUUUAAAAUGACAACAGACAAAAUAUAAAGUUACCAAAAUAUAAAUUUAAACUAAGGGACACAGUAAACCUGUAGAGGGAGGAUCUCUUAUUAUACGAGAUCAAAACUUUGUAUUUUUUGCUUAAAUGUAAAAUGUAGUACUUAUGAAAUACAAUACUGAAUUUUACUCCAAAUACACUAAUGUAGCAGUAAAACAUGGUUGUGGGAGCAUCAUACUAUGGGUUUACUUUUUUUUAAUUAAAUUUUUUACAGGUCAUAGCUUAUAGAGUUUAAUACAGAGCAAGCCUGGAUGGAAAUCUGUGAGAGGCUGCCAAAGACAUGAGACUUUGAGGUUCAUCUUCAAUCGAGUAGUUUAGAUAAUGGCCUAGUUAAAGUUGUUCAAUUAAGAAUCUGAGGAAAAACUUGAAAAUUCCUGUCCCACAUGCCCCAUUAAAAGUGUUUCUACAAAGAGGGCAGAUUACAUAUCAGUUAAAAAGAAACAAAACUAUGCAUUGUUUCCUUUCACCCUUAUGUAAUGAUUUAUGUUGGUCUGUUGCAUUAUCUCAGUAAAAUGAAUGACAGUGAAUAAAAAUGAGAUAAAACAUGGGAAAGUUCAAAAUGAAAUGAAUAAUUUAGCAAGGCAUAGCUCAUCUUUGCCAGGUAACCUUUCCCUUAAUAUAGUAUUUUUUCCAUUAAAAUUCAUUUCAACAGGACAAAAAUAAAUGUUUCAAAUAACUUUAGUAGCUCAAACUUUUCUGUGCUUUCUUACAAUGACUUCCCAACAGGUUCUUGAGUCAUCUCUUCCCCUCUCAAAUGUAAUAAUUGGAAAGGCUGCCUAUCCACACCUACGAUAUAAACACUGACAAAGCUGCCUGGGACAAGACAGCAAGACAAACAGUGUCUGUAAAUUCACAGCUUGACCUUCGGCAGUCUUAAAUGGCAACAGAGUCGAGUAACAAAUGUAUUUUUCAGGGAAGGCAUGUUAGAAGGUGACGAGAACAAACCGGCAGAGAAAAUGAAUCCUCAUCAAGUAUUGAUUCUCCUGUCUGGAGGAAAACUGAUAAGAUUUGAAACAACCAUCUUCUGCAAAAGAAAAUACCAUAUUUUUUUGACGGAGCAGCAGGAGGUCUUUGAUGCUGCUGAGAUGUGUGUGCCUAAAGCUCAUCUCGAGUAUGGAGUAUCCUACAACCCAGCUUGAGUUGGGACUCUGCAUGUCACUUCACAAAGUUUUAGAUUCAUCAUCCUUAAACUGAGAUGCCCCUGUGCAGGAGUGAAGCAAAUAAAAAUGAUGUUUCUUGGCAUAGUUCAUCUAAUUCACUCUAAAUUUGUUUGCAUGCAUAGACUCCAAACACACAGCAGCUCCGAGCAACAUCCUUUUACAGUUUGCUGAAAAGAGGCAAUUAUCUGUUCUACAGUCAAAAUGCUUCUGCAAUUAAUCUUUAUCUUGGCGCUCUUAAUCACCAAAUUACAGCCUGGAUAAUUAUGAAACAGCUUCCCCACACAUCCAGCCAUGCAUGUUUUCAUUUCAUGCCCCUGCGACACGGGAGGUUUCGCUAUCGCGCAUAUGCACAGUUUGUGAGGAUUACCGACGGCUAUGAAGUAUGACCCUGACUGGAGAUCAAGCCUGAGACUCGCAGCUACAAUAUGAUCCUGCCUAUAAUCAGGUCAGCAGCUCUUAGUCGACACAACGGGAAACCAUGGACACCAGAAACGAGAGGCGCCUGCUCAGAGUGGUGUUAAGUGUUGUAUAAAAAUAUGAAUUAUGAAGAGUUGUGUAAAUAUUCAAGCAACCCAGCAGUUCAACGAGAUUUAUCAUUUAAAUCCAAGCAAUUCUGCAAGUUUUCUCUCAGGUCCUGUUGACCUAUAAAAGAUUCAGAAGGUUUAUAAGUCGCUGUGAUGCUUACAGGGCAUUUUCUCAGGAACCUAUUCAUAUGUAAACCGUCGAAAAAUCUGAAAUAAUAUUCUCUCAGUCUAAUAUCUGUGGAGGAAAUAAAAUGUAUGUAAAUAUGGAGCUGUGAAAAAAAGGAUUUUCCUCCGCACAGAUUUCUUCUGCUUUUUGUCACAUGUAAAUGAAACGCAGUUUAAUAUGAGAUAUAAGCUUAGUCAAUAUAAAAUGUGGUUUUAUAAUACACUUUUCAUUUUAAUGAAAGAACCUAUCCAAAUAAACUUGACAAUAUGUAAAAAUAUUAUUGCCCUUCUUGAUAAAUCAUGUAUUAAUUGCGAUAAUACGCAUUUUCAGUUACAUCAAGCACACUAAGGUGGUAUUUCCUCAAAAAAUCACCAAAGAACAAAUACUUCUGACAAUUUGAAGUAGGCUAAAAAACUUAAAUAAAAAAAAAACUAAAGAAAUUUAAGCAACAAUUUUUUUAUCAAUCUGGAAAGGAUUGCAAAGCAAUUUCUAAAGCUUUAGAUCUCCAGGAAACUAUGAGCUACUGGCUAUUAAUGGCAAAAAAAAGUACAAUUUCUACCAAAAUUACUCCAUAAACAAAUAAACCGAUUGACAAGUUCACAAAAUGAUCCAGAAAUGCAUUUAAGCACAGCAUUUGGGAUGCAAAAACCAUGUCAGAAAAAAAAACAAGCAAAAAAAAAACCAUUUUGCCAGUCAAAUGUGGCGGUAUUAAUGUGAUGGUCAGAGACAGCUUCUCAUUGUUGCUGUAAAUCUCCCAGGAGAACAUGAGGCCAUGCAUGUUUCGACCUGAAGCUCACUUGAUUUGUGCAGCAGGACGAUGUCCUGAAGCGCAAUGGGAAGACCAUUCUGAAAGUCUUAGAAAAGACAAACAAAAUGAAGGUUUUGAAUUGGCCUAGUCAAUGUCCGGUCUGAUUGAAAGUAGGAGUGUAAACAACUGACAUUGUCAAACAAAAUGAAGGUUUUGAAUUGGCCUAGUCAAUGUCCGGUCUGAUUGAAAGUAGGAGUGUAAACAACUGACAUUGUGGAUUAAUUAAAAUAGUCCUGCAAAGCUUAAUUCAUCCACAGUGAUGUAAAGUUAAUGCUACCAAAGUUUUUCCAACCUGUUAUUUGGUUUAGGGAGUUUUUUUUUUUUUUCAUAAAUGACCAGGUUGGAUAAAAACGCUUUUUUCUCUUCAUGAAUGAACUCUCUACUUUAAAUUAUUUUUAUUUCUUCAGGUUAUUAUUAAUUUUUUUUCAUUGAUCUGAAAUAUUUUAGUGACAAAAAAAAGCAAACCAUUUCACUGCCCUAUCCAUUUUAUACUAGAAAUACAUUUAAACUUCAACUUAAAGGAGAACAUGUGGCAUAUAAAAAUACUAGAGAUGCUUUAUUUCCUUCCUCUAAAUGGACUCCUUCACCUUGCGACAGGAAGCAUAUUGUAAUUUCUGCCCCUUUCACUUGGUCAACUUCUCUCUGUCACUCAUUCUGAAAGACUGUCCGCUCUGAAACAGCGCUGAGCCUCAGGAUGAGAGGUGCAACAAAAAAAACCUCACCGCAGGUAGUAAUGAAAGAGACGGUGAGGGAGGACAGUUUGAAAAGAAUGCUUCACCUUGGCCAUUUAAUCUUGCUUUGACUUUUGCCGUCUGGCUACAAUAAAGCCCACAGCAAAUGGAUUUCAUCCCAAAAUGCCCUGGGAUUUUCUGUGGAUGUGGCUCAAGAAUCAGGAGUUGUUGAAGGAACAAGGUAGCUCUGGUGUUUUUCAGCUUAAUGAGGCAAAUCACAGAUAAUAUCUUCCCCACAGCAAGCAGCUAAAAUGAUGGUCGCUACAGCCAGAUAAAUGCAGUUGGGAGCUCCAGGGAAUUCAGCUUGACUUAAAUGCCACCCCCCAAAAAAGAUAUUUUUAAUUUAUUGAUGUAAAGGGCCCCAUUUUAAGAACUGUUGUCUUGACUGUUUAAUCCAAUGUGAAGCCAUUGUGACUUCAUGCAACAUACCAAAACAAAGUAUUGCCUAAAUAUGAAGUGGAGGGAAAAUAAUAUGUGGUUGCAAACAUUUUUUACAAUUAAAAAUAAAGUUCAGUUGUGGACUCAUCCGACCAGAACACCUUCCGUCAUUUUUAACGUGUCCCUUCCGGGUGGGUGGAGAAUUAAAAGCUGUGAAUACACACCACAGUUCUGUGUUUUGUUUGGAAAUAAAUGUGUGAAGCAAUUUGUUAUUUUUCACUUUGCAUGUCAUUCUUUAUUUUGUCACUUUUUAAUUCUUAGUUAUCGUUUAUGAAAGACAGUCUAGAAACCUGCCUAUAUUAGUAUGCUAUAAGCACCAUAAUACAGACAAGGGACUGCUGUUUCACUCAGUUUGUCAAUGUAAUUUUGUCUGUCCCCAUCAACUAAACUUAAAUAAAUCUAGAGCUAUCUCUUUAGUUAUGCUGCUUUAGGCUUAGGCUGCUGGAGGAGAAACUGACCUCUUUUCUUCGCGCUGCUACUUUUCCUCUCCAAUUUGCUGUUAUUUCAACUGUUAACUUUGUUUUCUUUCAGUUUUCUCUCUCCACAGAAGCUACAUCUGGUCUGGUGUUCUGUUUAGCUACAAUACUUUCCUGAAUGAGGGAAUCAGCUGAGAUAAUGCUGCAAAUCACUUAACAGCCUCCCUCUCCUACCAUUAAUAAGUUUUUACUUUUCUUUAACACAGAAGAACAAAUGUAGGAGUGUUUUCUUUUUCUUCCGUUUGUAUCUGCUUUGUCUUAAACUCUCAGUGAGUUGUUUACACUGAGCCAGGUUCUGGUUCUGCUGGAGGUUUCUUCAUGUUAAGGGGGAGUUUUUCCUCUCCACUGUCAUGCAUGUACAGUAUGUGGGAUAGCUGUAGUCAACAACUUGUCUACAGUCAAUAAAUCCUUUUCUAGGUGGA